rnacentral:rRNA from 1 species
GAUGAACGCUGGCGGCGUGCCUAAUACAUGCAAGUCGGGCGAACGGACGAGAAGCUUGCUUUUCUGAUGUUAGCGGCGGACGGGUGAGUAACACGUGGAUAACCUACCUAUAAGACUGGGAUAACUUCGGGAAACCGGAGCUAAUACCGGAUAAUAUUUUGAACCGCAUGGUUCAAAAGUGAAAGACGGUCUUGCUGUCACUUAUAGAUGGAUCCGCGCUGCAUUAGCUAGUUGGUAAGGUAACGGCUUACCAAGGCAACGAUGCAUAGCCGACCUGAGAGGGUGAUCGGCCACCCUGGAACUGAGACACGGUCCAGACUCCUACGGGAGGCAGCAGUAGGGAAUCUUCCGCAAUGGGCGAAAGCCUGACGGAGCAACGCCGCGUGAGUGAUGAAGGUCUUCGGAUCGUAAAACUCUGUUAUUAGGGAAGAACAUAUGUGUAAGUAACUGUGCACAUCUUGACGGUACCUAAUCAGAAAGCCACGGCUAACUACGUG